GUUGAUUACUGUGAAAAAGAAAGAAACACUAGCAGAAAGAAACGACAAUACAUUUUUAGAAAGGAAGUUAAUCACAUUUGACCUAACACUAAGUGGCAUCUUCUCUUCUAGUUUUCAUUACUGUUGUCUACUUUUGUAUCUGUUUUGAGAGCAUGCCACAGAGUGCAUUUUUGGCAUUGAUAUCUAAUUACUUGUAAUGCACAAGCCUCUCAGAUGGCUGAGCAGGAAGUAGGAAGCUCUGAGGAUGAAGUAUUCCCCCAUAGUUCCCCAUGCUGACUGCAGCCAAUCACCUGCUGUUGCCUGGUCUGUUGAUGUGCCUGUCUGCACAGUAUGACUCUAUCCCUGGUGUGCGUGGAUCUAAAGGCUUGACGGGGUUGAGAGGCGUUCGGCUGUCAUGUCGUGCAUUACUGCACAGAGAGUGAGAGGUGAUUGUUCACUCGCUGACACAGAGGCAUCAUAGCAUUGCCUUGAGCAACGCUUACAUGGCAGUCAUCUGAAUCACAGGUGUUUGUGUUUUGCUCAGUGUAGGUGGCUGUCAGGGGAAACCAUUGCAGCGCUUUCAUCUAUUAUAGUUCCUUCAGUUCCGGCCUGAGAACAGAGUCUGUUACUGCUCAAACCCAUGUCAACUUCAUAGUAAGACUGAACCACUAAACCUCUCAGAUAUCAAGCCCUGUGCAACAACAUGCUGAGAAGAAAAUGUUCUCGUAGGUUUGGCAACAUUUUGGUUAUGAUGCAAUAUUUUCUUUUUUUUUGUGAUUGUUGAAGACAGUGGUUUGGCAGCUGUUUGCAUUUUGCUUCUUGGUUUCCAUUAAAUACCUUACACUACUUGCAUGGUCCUACGUGGCUUUUCAUGUUAUUUCCCAAGAAACCCUUUAAUGUGUUUGUUCUUUGAUGAAUUUAUACUUUAUUUUGAGUCACCUUUAUA
ensembl:lncRNA